rnacentral:rRNA from 1 species
GCAGCCGCCGCGGUAAUACAGAGGGUGCGAGCGUUAAUCGGAUUUACUGGGCGUAAAGCGUGCGUAGGCGGCUUUUUAAGUCGGAUGUGAAAUCCCUGAGCUUAACUUAAGAAUUGCAUUCGAUACUGGGAAGCUAGAGUAUGGGAGAGGAUGGUAGAAUUCCAGGUGUAGCGGUGAAAUGCGUAGAGAUCUGGAGGAAUACCGAUGGCGAAGGCAGCCAUCUGGCCUAAUACUGACGCUGAGGUACGAAAGCAUGGGGAGCAAACAGGAUUAGAUACCCCUGUAGUCCCUGUCUCUUAUAC